rnacentral:misc_RNA from 1 species
GAAAUGCGAUAAGUAGUGUGAAUUGCAGAAUUCAGUGAAUCAUCGAAUCUUUGAACGCACAUUGCGCCCCUUGGUAUUCCAUGGGGCAUGCCUGUUCGAGCGUCAUUUGUACCCUCAAGCUCUGCUUGGUGUUGGGUGUUUGUCCCGUCUCCGCACGUGGACUCGCCCCAAAGUGAUUGGCAGCCGGCGUACUGGUCCCGGAGCGCAGCACAUGUCGCGCAAACGAGUGCCUUGGUACGGCGGCGUCCAUAAGCCCCUCUCUCACGCUCUUGACCUCGGAUCAGGUAGGGAUACCCGCUGAACUUAAGC